rnacentral:lncRNA from 1 species
AUUUGUUAGUAAAAAACUAAAGAGCAACCAACCUUAAACAUUUAACAGGAGAGGCGAGCAGUGUAGAAAUUUUGCAAGUCUGAGUGGUGGGUGGGUGCAAUGUUGGCCAGUGAAGGGGACAGACGUAAAAGGAGACCCUGGCGAGAUGGCCUUGAGAAAGGCUCUGGCAAGUGAGAAGACACCUUGACACCAGGCAUGGCUGGAUGAAGUCAGCGCUCUGAAGCCCCAAGGCAUUAGGACACCUCCAUUCCUGACCUCCUGGAGCACUGACUGCCUUUUGUGGGGGAUUGAAAAAGACUUCUGGGAAGAGCUGGUGCUGAGUCCUCUGUGUGAAGAGGAGGAAAAGAGUUGAUGAGUAUGAAUUGGAGGACCCAUCCAGAAAUAAAGGAUCUGCAAACAAUCAAACUAAUAAAAAAUCAAACACAAAACAGAGGAACAGAGAUCCCUGGAGAGAUGCCCUUUCAACCCUCCAUCUCUGCUAAAUGCCUUUUGGAUCUCAGCAGUGGAGCCCAUUGGUUGGUUGGAUAGUCAGAGCAGACUAUUACUGACGCCUAUUAAGGCUGACUGAAAGAAUUCUAGCCAAAUCUUCCAGGUUAGAAGAGAAAUGACAGCUCCUCCCAAAGGUAUUUCCAUGACAAAGCACAGCAACCAUCCUGCAAAGGGUUAAUACUCCCCCCUCCCCUGCCCCCAACUUGCUACAGAGAUCAGCUAAUCUGAUAAUUACAGCAACAAACACAGUUUAGACAAACAAGACCUGACCCUGAGGGUUUGGAAUGAAAACAUUUACUCUCUCCCUCCCUAGAGAGAUGGUGCCUGGAGCAUACACACAGAGAGACACUGGGAAAAUACCCUUGUGCUGGAGCGACAGGGUGAAAACAUCUGUGUUCCUGAGCUGCUUAAGAAGAUGAAGUUAACAGGGAGAAGGGAUGGGGCGG